rnacentral:rRNA from 1 species
UACGUAGGGGGCAAGCGUUGUCCGGAUUUAUUGGGCGUAAAGCGCGUGUAGGUGGCCAAGUAGGUCCGCUGUGAAAACUCGAGGCUCAACCUCGAGACGCCGAUGGAAACCAUCUGGCUAGAGUCCGGAAGAGGAGAGUGGAAUUCCCGGUGUAGCGGUGAAAUGCGCAGAUAUCGGGAAGAACACCCGUGGCUAAGGCGGCUCUCUAGUACGGUACUGACGCUGAGACGCGAAAGCGUGGGGAGCGAACAGG